GGUAAACAGAGUCUGCUAUCAGACAGAUGUACACAUUCUCUCUGUAUCCCCCAUCUAUCUAUCUAUCUAUCUAUCUAUCUAUCUAUCUAUCUAUCUAUCUAUCUAUCUAUCUAUCUAUCUAUCUAUCUAUCUAUCUAUCUAUCUAUCUAUCUAUCUAUCUAUCUAUCUAUCUAUCUAUCUAUCUAUCUAUCUAUCUAUCUAUCUAUCUAUCUAUCUAUCUAUCUGUAUAUUCUUCAGGCAAAUUCCGUGAAUAUAGAAAUAGCUGUUUUUUCUUAACUAAGCAUGAGCCUUUUAUUUCAACACAAAGAAAAGGUACAUCUCCACAAAGGCUGCCACUACACUUAUCUCUGAGUAGGUAUGAAGUCCUCCUUAAAUACUGCUUGUGUGAGAGCAUGCUUUAUGAAGAUGGGGUACUAUGGAAGAGGACGAGAAGAAGAGAGUUCGACUUGCCCAGCUCUGCUGUUUUCCACAAGCAGAGAGGGGCAUCGUUUACCACAACAUUAAACGGAUAUAUUAUAGUUGGUGCACCACUUGAUGUUAUUUUACAGGAUUGAUCACCUUAUCAUAAAGUUUUAUAAUAUUUCACAUACAUGCUGUUAAUUGAGUAACAGAAGUUAAUGGCUGAUAUUUUUAGCUGUUAGCCAGUUCAGAGGUAGUGGGGCUUAAGAGCUGGCACAUAAACAAUCUCUGCAUAAGAAGAAAAGGUUUCCUCUGAUUGGCUACUGGAAGGCAUUAAAAUAAACUUGAUGUCUUCAUGGUGCAACCAAACAAUGACACAACCUAAGAUAUAAGUAGUUUCAACGCAGAGUUAAAGGGAUAUUACGGUGUAAAUUUGAUCGACUUGUCAGAGCUCCCAUACAAACAAACGGCUGCUGGAGGAGAGUGGGUGAGUUGUGUUUAGUCUCUUUGCUAAAGAAACCAGGCAAAGCUAUAAAGAUGUUUGGUGGCUAGUACUAUGGCUGGGACCCUAUAUGUCCUGUUGAUGAAGUUAGGUGCUGUUCUGAGCAUUAUUUGUGGCUAUAGAGUGGCUUUUCUGUUGAGGUUUGCACGCAGAGAAGUAGACCACUGUGUAUUGCUAUCGUGUGGUUGUUGCCGAAGUUAGUAUAACUUAAGAACCAACCCCACUCUAGUUCUCUGAGGCUUCAGCUGGUAGUGGGCAUAUCCUCAUUCUUCUUGUAAGUUAACUUGCUCACACACCUUCCUUUAGUCUGGAAGCAGCUACUUUGUGAUCAGGGUAAGAUCUGUCAUCAUAUUACACCAUAUUUUUAGUUGCUUGACAGUUGUUGAACGUCUCAGCAGAGCUGAUAUCCAUAAACUCUAAAUCAGCAUCAAAACACCACCUCUGUUGAUGAACAACUUAUCCUGCUUUUGAAUCUUUUGUACCACGGCGUCUCUCCAUCUUUCAUCCCUCUGACGCUGUAGUUGUGAGUGAUGACUGUCCUCUGUCAUGAGGAACACAAUGACUUUACUGAUAAAUGGGCCGUCCACUGCAGUGAAGGACUAUCGCCUUACAAAAGUGUGGACCACGUGGCAACCCCACUUUUUCAUUUGUGUUUACUCUGGUCGGUGCGGUACUUUGAUGUACCAGUUAGGACGAAGACUAAAAAGAUAGAUAAUUUAUUAAUCCCUUGCAGAAAAUUGCAUUAUUACGGCAGCUCAGACAAAACAAGCAUCAAACAGACAUUCAGGCACAUAAAAGCAUUUAAGAUGAGAAAUUUACAAUGAAUUAGAAAAUCUAAGUAAUUCUCAGUUGAAUAUAUAAACACAGAUGAAAAAGUAUGAUAGAAAUAUUUAAUGUGAAUGCAUUCAAUGUGCAAUCUAUUAAGCUGAAAUGUCCAGAAACCUUACUAUCUAAAAAAUAUAAAAGACACAUAUACAGAUUUAUCACCCAUACUGCAUUAUGGGAAUUCUAAACAUUGCCACAAUCUGAGUCUUGAUUGAAUCUAUUGAUUGAAAUGAAGCUCAAGUCAAAAAAUCAAUCCAAUUUGAUUAAUCUUGUGACACUUUAGCCCAGUUUACAUGGGUAGCUUUCCUAAAUCUGAUUGAAAUCAAUCGGAUUAAGUGAAUCUGAUUCCAUCUGUAUACAUGAACUUUAAGUAAAGAGAUCCACGUUCAAUCCGCGUUUGCAUGGCCACAGCUGAAUCCGAUUGUAUUGUUUUUUUUACAUGCGCAGAAGGUCACUCUGCCACUACCUGCAAAUGUGUAAGAGAAGAAGAGGUGCACUUCCUGCUUCCUGUUUACCUGUAGAAAGAUGGAUCCAUGUCGUGUUUUGUUGGGGAUGCUUAUUGUGUUGUGGUUACAUUUAUUUGCGGUACAAGUUUGUCUCCUCCACCGUCCAGUUUUUCUGUUUGUUCGCCAUGUUUGCUUUCGUUUGGGCGUGCUCUGCGCACGUCACUAUGUGCCUCUUACCUACUACGGAGCGCCUGCGCAGACCGAACAAGCCUCUCUGUAAACCCAAUCCGCUCCACUCAGCCGUAUAUAUGGAGCGGAUUAUCAAUCAACGUAGACUACCUCUUACAAUCCAACCUGAAAUACAAUCAGAUCUGGGUGAAGCAGAUUGGCUAAGAUGUUUAUAUGAGACCUUUUGAAUCUGAAUUGACCUUGAUUGUAAAUAGGAUUUUUGGACGCAUGUAAACGGGUCACUGCAUAUAGUUGCAUAAUCGCCCAACUGUCAACAGUAAGAAACAGCUCCAGAAUAAAUUCCCUACUUUUACCUGAAAAACAACAAUUCAAAGUCAGCUACAACCUUAACAAAUAUUGUGACUUUUAUGUAGUAUUGCAGUCCCUUCAGCUUAUAUUUUUUGUGUUUGUAUGGCAAAUAAAGUUUAUUUUUAAAGCACUUUUCAUUCAAAGAGCAGUUUAAAUCAGAGUGUGGGGUGGUGUAGCUGUUGGCUCUGUUGACUCACCACGAAAAAUGCUGCUCUGGUUUGGCUGCAAGUAUUGGUCAUCUGCCUAAUUACUGACGACCCGUUCACUGGAUCAACACCAGUCCUCCACUCCCCCAGCCUCCAUGACAGAAGCAGCAGACACGCUGGGUUGAUGAUAUUCUGCUUUUCAGAAAGCUGAGAUAAAGUUUUCUUGAAUAACUGAUUUUUUUAAGUAUGAGGUAUGUACCUGGUUUUCUUAAUGAGUGUCUCUUUCAAUGGUUUUACACCCUAACUUCCCCUAUCUAAAGUCUGAAGGGUCUUUUAGAUUUCUCUCUUCCUUCUUGAAACUUCUUUUAAUUAGCUACUAUGUCUUUGUCGAGGAGAAGGUGUCCUCAGUAUUCCCUUCAUGUGGCUGCUUCAGGAGCCUUUAAGUUUGUCCCACUCACACUGAACAGAGGACACGAUCUGCUUCACCGCCCCGCCAUCAGACCUGGUUAAUGUGUUUACCGUCCUUAAUGCUCUUCAUGCUUUCAGCCCAGCGUCCUGGAUAUUACCCCUUGAUAGGCUGAGCUGAAGGGGAUCAUUUUUAAAGAGGGCGUUGGCCUGCUGCAGGAGUUUUUAUUUAUUUAUUUUGUCUUCAUUAGUUGGUAAAUGCCACACGUAUUGAUAGAUUGCCAAUUUGCAUCUGAUCUGGGAAAUAUUGCACCUGCAUCUGCACAAACCUGCAUGAGCAGCCCAGCUGAAGUCUGCUCAGGACAAUUUAGGCUUGAAAUCUAAUCUGUUUCACACCAGGUGUGUAUCCAAACAAACUAUCACCAUACUUAUGAUUUCAGGACACAUCUGCUUCCUCCGUCUGGUCCCAGCGUCAUUAAUGAGAUUGGACAUUGACUGCUUGAGUCUGUGUCUGCCUGAGUUCUUCCACUUUCCCCUUCCAUCAGGUUGUGAUCACAUAUGAACCAAGAACUGUGAAUUAAAGUGUUUGUCAAAUAUUAUUGCUUUUUCUCCUUAUGAUUGAUGUUGAAGUAUUUUAUCAAAUGUUUUCGCAGCUUCUCAAACCUGCCACCAUAAACAAGAUAACUCAUGUUGUCUUUAUGCCUCAAUAUGUUGGAAAUUCCUGUCUGCCGUUGUUCUUACUCAGAAAUAGUUGUAGUUUUUCUGAUCUGACUUGGUGUGCAGUCUGUUUCUUGGUGCCUUGACCUGACUGUCUAACCCCAGCUGUGAAUCCUGUGUGUCCAAGUGAACUCUUUAAAGUCAUCUGCAGUGGGUCAGGGUGGGUUCAAAAAAACUUAUCAUCUGACCUCAAGUGAACUCAGUCAUUUGAAAACUUUAUGUUGGAUCCAUUUUUUUUAACCUAAUGUGAAAUAAGUUAAUAUUUUGGAAGUUAUAUUAAAACUGUUAAAAAACAAACAAACAAAACUUUU